UGCGUAGGCGGAAGAUUAAGUCAGUGAUGAAAUCCUGCAGCUCAACUGUAGAACUGUCAUUGAUACUGAUUUUCUUGAAUACAGUUGAGGUAGGCGGAAUAUGUAAUGUAGCGGUGAAAUGCUUAGAUAUUACAUAGAACACCGAUUGCGAAGGCAGCUUACUAAGCUAUGAUUGACGCUGAGGUACGAAAGCGUGGGGAGCGAACAGGAUUAGAUACCCUGGUAGUCC
rnacentral:rRNA from 1 species